GACGAACCACACGAACGUUAUUCGGAAUUACUGGGCUUAAAGGGUGCGUAGGCGGCGCAGAAAGUUGGGUGUGAAAUCCCUCGGCUCAACCGAGGAACUGCGCCCAAAACUACUGUGCUUGAGGAAGAUAGAGGUAAGCGGAACUUACGGUGGAGCGGUGAAAUGCGUUGAUAUCGUAAGGAACACCUGUGGCGAAAGCGGCUUACUGGUCUUUCUGACGCUGAUGCACGAAGCAGGGAGC
rnacentral:rRNA from 1 species